rnacentral:rRNA from 1 species
GUGCCAGCAGCCGCGGUAAUACGGGGGGAGCAAGCGUUGUUCGGAUUUACUGGGCGUAAAGGGCGCGUAGGCGGUCAGCACAAGUCAAUUGUGAAAUCUCCGAGCUUAACUCGGAAAGGUCAACUGAAACUGUGCGACUAGAGUGCGGAAGGGGCAACUGGAAUUCUUGGUGUAGCGGUGAAAUGCGUAGAUAUCAAGAGGAACACCUGCGGCGAAGGCGGGUUGCUGGGCCGACACUGACGCUGAAGCGCGAAAGCCAGGGGAGCGAACGGGAUUAGAUACCCUCGUAGUCC